rnacentral:rRNA from 1 species
CCUACGGGGGGCUGCAGUGAGGAAUAUUGGACAAUGGUCGGAAGACUGAUCCAGCCAUGCCGCGUGCAGGAUGAGGGUCCUAUGGAUUGUAAACUGCUUUUGUAAGGGAAGAAUAAGGAGUACGAGUACUUUGAUGACGGUACCUUACGAAUAAGCAUCGGCUAACUCCGUGCCAGCAGCCGCGGUAAUACGGAGGAUGCGAGCGUUAUCCGGAAUCAUUGGGUUUAAAGGGUCCGUAGGCGGGCUGAUAAGUCAGAGGUGAAAUCGUUCAGCUCAACUGAGCAACUGCCUUUGAAACUGUCAGUCUUGAAUGAUUGUGAAGUAGUUGGAAUGUGUAGUGUAGCGGUGAAAUGCUUAGAUAGUACACAGAACACCGAUAGCGAAGGCAUAUUACUAACAAUUUAUUGACGCUGAUGGACGAAAGCGUGGGGAGCGAACAGGAUUAGAUACCCGGGUAGUC